UACGUAGGUGGCAAGCGUUUGUCCGGAUUUAUUGGGUUUAAAGGGUGCGUAGGCGGCUUUGUAAGUCAGUGGUGAAAUAUGGCAGCUCAACUGUCAGGGUGCCAUUGAUACUGCAGAGCUUGAGUACAGAUGAGGUAGGCGGAAUUGACGGUGUAGCGGUGAAAUGCUUAGAUAUCGUCAAGAACACCGAUAGCGAAGGCAGCUUACUGGGCUGUAACUGACGCUGAGGCACGAAAAGUGUGGGGGAUCAAAC
rnacentral:rRNA from 1 species